UGUUCCCAGGUUCCAGGAACUAACACCUGAAAAGCUAGGAAAGGCUGGUUUGGUAAGAGAGAAGGCAUUUGGUACCACAAAAGAUCGGAUGCUUCAUAUUGAGCUUUGUGCAAAUUCAAGGGYUGUGACUGUAUUUAUUCGUGGGGAUGAUAGCAUUCAUCCAGAGCAUCAUGAUCACGGCACCCCCAUCUCCUUCUUCCCUUCCUGUUU